UACAGAGGUCUCAAGCGUUGUUCGGAUUCAUUGGGCGUAAAGGGCGCGUAGGCGGCGCGGUAAGUCGGGUGUGAAAUCUCGGAGCUUAACUCCGAAACUGCAUUCGAUACUGCCGUGCUUGAGGACUGGAGAGGAGACUGGAAUUUACGGUGUAGCGGUGAAAUGCGUAGAUAUCGUAAGGAAGACCAGUGGCGAAGGCGGGUCUCUGGACAGUACCUGACGCUGAGGCACGAAGGCCAGGGGAGCAAACGGG
rnacentral:rRNA from 1 species